AGUGAACGCUGGCGGUAGGCCUAACACAUGCAAGUCGAACGGCAGCACAGUAAGAGCUUGCCCUUACGGGUGGCGAGUGGCGGACGGGUGAGGCAUACAUCGGAAUCUACUUUUUCGUGGGGGAUAACGUAGGGAAACUUACGCUAAUACCGCAUACGACCUACGGGUGAAAGCAGGGGAUCUUCGGACUUUUCGCGUUAGAAUGAGCCGACGUCGGAUUAGCUAGUUGGCGGGGUAAAGGCCCACCAAGGCGACGAUCCGUAGCUGAUCUGAGAGGAUGAUCAGCCACACUGGAACUGAGACACGGUCCAGACUCCUACGGGAGGCAGCAGUGGGGAAUAUUGGACAAUGGGCGCAAGCCUGAUCCAGCCAUGCCGCGUGGGUGAAGAAGGCCUUCGGGUUGUAAAGCCCUUUUGUUGGGAAAGAAAAGCAGCAGGUUAAUACCCCGCUGUUCUGACGGUACCCAAAGAAUAAGCACCGGCUAACUUCGUG
rnacentral:rRNA from 1 species